UCACACUGAUUGAUCUGUGAAUACUGAACCA
rnacentral:piRNA from 1 species